GACGAACGCUAGCUACAGGCCUAACACAUGCAAGUCGAGGGGCAGCACGAAGUAAGCUUGCUUACUUUGGUGGCGACCGGCGCACGGGUGCGUAACAGGUGUGCAAUCUGUCCAUAAUCGGGGAAUAGCCCAGCGAAAGUUGGAUUAAUGCUCCAUGUGAGUUUUAGAGGCAUCUCUUUAAUUUGAAACGUAAGGAUUAUGGGUGAGCACGCUUCUGAUUAGGUAGUUGGUGAGGUAACGGCUCACCAAGCCGACGAUCAGUAGGGGUUCUGAGAGGAAGGUCCCCCACACUGGUACUGAGACACGGACCAGACUCCUACGGGAGGCAGCAGUGAGGAAUAUUGGUCAAUGGGCGAGAGCCUGAACCAGCCAAGUCGCGUGAGGGAUGACGGUACUAAGUAUUGUAAACCUCUUUUGUCAGGGAACAAAGAGACCACGUGUGGUAAGAUGAGUGUACCUGAAGAAAAAGCAUCGGCUAACUCCGUGCCAGCA
rnacentral:rRNA from 1 species